rnacentral:rRNA from 1 species
CCGGUAGCUAAAUGCGGAAGAGAUAAGUGCUGAAAGCAUCUAAGCACGAAACUUGCCCCGAGAUGAGUUCUCCCUGAGACUUAGAGUCUCCUGAAGGAACGUUGAAGACGACGACGUUGAUAGGCCGAGUGUGUAAGCGCAGCGAUGCGUUGAGCUAACCGGUACUAAUGAACCGUGAGGCUUAACCUU